AUGAACGCUAGCUACAGGCUUAACACAUGCAAGUCGAGGGGAAACGACAUCGAAAGCUUGCUUUUGAUGGGCGUCGACCGGCGCACGGGUGAGUAACGCGUAUCCAACCUGCCCAUCACUUGGGGAUAACCUUGCGAAAGUAAGACUAAUACCCAAUGAUAUCUCUAGAAGACAUCUGAAAGAGAUUAAAGAUUUAUCGGUGAUGGAUGGGGAUGCGUCUGAUUAGCUUGUUGGCGGGGUAACGGCCCACCAAGGCAACGAUCAGUAGGGGUUCUGAGAGGAAGGUCCCCCACAUUGGAACUGAGACACGGUCCAAACUCCUACGGGAGGCAGCAGUGAGGAAUAUUGGUCAAUGGGCGAGAGCCUGAACCAGCCAAGUAGCGUGCAGGAAGACGGCCCUAUGGGUUGUAAACUGCUUUUAUAAGGGAAUAAAGUGAGAGUCGUGACUCUUUUUGUAUGUACCUUAUGAAUAAGGACCGGCUAAUUCCGUG
rnacentral:rRNA from 1 species